rnacentral:rRNA from 14 species
CUAGUACGAGAGGACUGGGUGGGACGCACCCCUGGUGUGCCGGUUGUGGCGCUAGCCGCACCGCCGGGUAGCCACGUGCGGAACGGAUAAACGCUGAAGGCAUAUAAGCGUGAAACUCCCCCCUAGAUCAGGUCUCGCUUCGAAAGAUGAAGGCUCCCGGGAGACGACCGGGUCGAUAGGCCGGGCGUGCAAGUGCGACGUACUCAGCCAAC